AACGAACGCUGGCGGCAUGCCUAACACAUGCAAGUCGAACGAGACCUUCGGGUCUAGUGGCGCACGGGUGCGUAACGCGUGGGAACCUGCCCUUAGGUUCGGAAUAACUCCCCGAAAGGGGUGCUAAUACCGGAUAAUGUCUUCGGACCAAAGAUUUAUCGCCUUUGGAUGGGCCCGCGUUGGAUUAGCUAGUUGGUAGGGUACAAGCCUACCAAGGCGACGAUCCAUAGCUGGUCGGAUAGGAUGAUCAGCCACACUGGGACUGAGACACGGCCCAGACUGCUACGGGAGGCAGCAGUGGGGAAUAUUGGACAAUGGGCGAAAGCCUGAUCCAGCAAUGCCGCGUGAGUGAUGAAGGCCUUAGGGUUGUAAAGCUCUUUGACCCGGGAUGAUAAUGACAGUACCGGGAGAAUAAGCUCCGGCUAACUCCGUG
rnacentral:rRNA from 1 species